GUCGGCUUGAGCCCCCUUGCAUGUGCCCAGCUGGGGAGACACCCGUGCCCUGCCAGGAGCCCUGCCCUGUGUGUGCCAGCAGGGACGGGCACGGAGGUGCAGAGAGCCACCAGCCACGGUGACCUGCUUUUGGGCAGGGUGGGGGCUCCUGUGUCACUGCAUCUCCUGCUAAAAACGCCCUGCAUCCCUGGAGCACACAGCCCUGGCAUGGCGGGCAGGGGAGCGGGCUGCAGUGGGGACAGGGCUGGGAAGGUGCUGGGCUGCCUGGUGCUGUCCUUUGGGUGCUGCUAGGUGGGCUGUGCUGUCCUUUGGGUGCUGCUAGGCGGGCUGUGCUGUCCUUUGGGUGCUGCCUUGUGCUGUCCUUUGGGUGCUGCCAGGCGGGCUGUGCUGC